rnacentral:rRNA from 1 species
GACGAACGCUGGCGGCGUGCCUAAUACAUGCAAGUCGUGCGGACCUUGUUGAAAGCUUUCUUUUAAAAGGUUAGCGGCGGACGGGUGAGUAACACGUGGGCAACCUGCCUGUAAGACUGGGAUAACGCCGGGAAACCGGGGCUAAUACCAGAUCGUUUUUUCCUCCGCAUGGAGGAAAAAGGAAAGGCGGCGUCGGCUGCCACUUACAGAUGGACCCGCGGCGCAUUAGCUAGUUGGCCGGGUAACGGCCCACCAAGGCAACGAUGCGUAGCCGACCUGAGAGGGUGAUCGGCCACAUUGGGACUGGGACACGGCCCAAACUCCUACGGGAGGCAGCAGUAGGGAAUCUUCCGCAAUGGACGAAAGUCUGACGGAGCAACGCCGCGUGAGUGAAGAAGGCCUUCGGGUCGUAAAACUCUGUUGCCGGGGAAGAACAAGUGCCGUUCGAACAGGGCGGCGCCUUGACGGUACCCGGCCAGAAAGCCACGGCUAACUACGUG